rfam:Asian citrus Psyllid, Diaphorina citri - Florida Strain, whole genome shotgun sequence.
GCCUAGUUAGCUUAGAGGGUAGAGCGUCUGUCUUGUAACCGCUAGGUCGCGGAUUCGAUUCCCGCUCGGGGCA